UUGCCAGACUCCUACGGGAGGCAGCAGUGAGGAAUAUUGGUCAAUGGGCUUACGCCUGAACCAGCCAAGUCGCGUGAGGGAAGACGGUCCUACGGAUUGUAAACCUCUUUUGCCGGGGAGCAACGGGGUCCUUGCGAGGGCCCAAUGAGAGUACCCGGAGAAAAAGCAUCGGCUAACUCCGUGCCAGCAGCCGCGGUAAUACGGAGGAUGCGAGCGUUAUCCGGAUUUAUUGGGUUUAAAGGGUGCGUAGGCGGAACAUUAAGUCAGCGGUAAAAUCGAGGGGCUCAACCCCUUUAAGCCGUUGAAACUGGUGAUCUUGAGUGGGCGAGAAGUAUGCGGAAUGCGUGGUGUAGCGGUGAAAUGCAUAGAUAUCACGCAGAACUCCGAUUGCGAAGGCAGCAUACCGGCGCCCGACUGACGCUGAGGCACGAAAGCGUGGGGAUCGAACAGGAUUAGAUACCCGGGUAU
rnacentral:rRNA from 1 species